ensembl:piRNA 21ur-9445 ncRNA
UGUUCAGCAUUUAAAACUCCU